GAUUUCCCAGUUCCAGGAGGACCAUACAGUAGAUAUCCACGCUUCCAGGCCUUGCCAAUUCUCUUGUAGAAUUCCUUCCUGCCCAAGAACCUGUCCAAAUCAUCAAUAAUAGAUUUCUUCAACUGGUAAUCCAUGGCGAGUGCAUCGAAAGUGGAUGGAUGUCGAAAAUCAAUAGAAUUCCAGCAACCGCGAGACCUUGUGUAGAGCUUCAAAACCUUCUCCCCUUGGGUUAAGGCCUUGGAAGUAUCUAGAAUAUGAUUCAAGUAGUCAUGAAAAACCUUUUCCCUGUAUUGAUCUUCAAAUGUUAUCUCAAAAUGACCCUUGUUGAAAAACCUGUCAUUCUUGGCUCGAUCAUCAUUUUCUUGCUUGGCAAACUGCCAUGUGAUCUCUAUCCCUUCAAACACGUCAACAAUCUUCUCACCUUCUACCAUGGCAGCUGUAACAUUCUUUUGCCCUCUAAACUUGCCAACUCUGAUUACUUUGUUCUUGGGACCAAUCUUGGAGGAUAAGUAAAAUCUGGAAGCAUCUAUGAGCUUGUUACGGUCAAGGCCAUCCCAUGAAUCAUCGAUGAUGAAGGUAUUAAAAGACUUGGACAACUUUCUACGAGAGAAAAAGCUCAAGAUUUUGGAGACCACAAAGGUCUCAAUCUUCUUGGGUACCAGUUCAUGGUAGACAUUCCGUAGAAGCAUCAAGGAUGUGGAGAAGGAGGCAUAAAAGGACAGCAAAUAAGAUGUUGAAGGGAACAUCCUUGUAUUUUCUACAAAAGCAUAGGCCAUGUCGAUGAUUUUAGUAGGAUUUGGUCUAGACCCUAGUUCUUGGACAAGAAGAAGCAAGAACUAGAGCUACUUGUCAAAUGAAACUCUCUCAGUGUGAAUGGAAUUUGUUUAUUCACUACGGAAUGAAAUUUCGAAAAGAAAAAUC
rnacentral:misc_RNA from 1 species